rnacentral:rRNA from 1 species
AGUGAACGCUGGCGGUAGGCCUAACACAUGCAAGUCGAACGGCAGCACAGUAAGAGCUUGCCCUUACGGGUGGCGAGUGGCGGACGGGUGAGGAAUACAUCGGAAUCUACUUUUUCGUGGGGGAUAACGUAGGGAAACUUACGCUAAUACCGCAUACGACCUACGGGUGAAAGCAGGGGAUCUUCGGACCUUGCGCGAUUGAAUGAGCCGAUGUCGGAUUAGCUAGUUGGCGGGGUAAAGGCCCACCAAGGCGACGAUCCGUAGCUGGUCUGAGAGGAUGAUCAGCCACACUGGAACUGAGACACGGUCCAGACUCCUACGGGAGGCAGCAGUGGGGAAUAUUGGACAAUGGGCGCAAGCCUGAUCCAGCCAUACCGCGUGGGUGAAGAAGGCCUUCGGGUUGUAAAGCCCUUUUGUUGGGAAAGAAAAGCAGCAGGUUAAUACCCCGCUGCUCUGACGGUACCCAAAGAAUAAGCACCGGCUAACUUCGUG